rnacentral:rRNA from 1 species
CGGUGCUGAAGCAACAAAUGCCCUGCUUCCAGGAAAAGCCUCUAAGCAUCAGGUAACAUCAAAUCGUACCCCAAACCGACACAGGUGGGAAGGAUGAGAAUUCUAAGGCGCUUGAGAGAACUCGGGUGAAGGAACUCGGCAAAAUGGUACCGUAACUUCGGGAGAAGGUACGCCUCUGCUGGUUAAUAGCUGGCGGAGGCCGCAGAGACCAGGUGGCUGCGACUGUUUAUCAAAAACAUAGCACUCUGCAAACACGUAAGUGGAAGUAUAGGGUGUGACCCCUGCCCGGUGCCGGAAGGUUAAUUGAUGGGGUUAGUUUUCGGACGAAGCUCUUGAUCGAAGCCCCGGUGAACGGCGGCCGUAACUAUAACGGUCCUAAGGUAGCGAAAUUCCUUGUCGGGUAAGUUCCGACCUGCACGAAUGGCGUAACGAUGGCCACACUGUCUCCACCCGAGACUCAGUGAAAUUGAAAUCGCUGUUAAGAUGCAGUGUAUCCGCGGCUAGACGGAAAGACCCCGUGAACCUUUACUACAGCUUCACAGUGGACCUUGAUAUGACUUGUGUAGGAUAGCUGGGAGGCUAUGAAACCCGGACGCCAGUCUGGGUGGAGCCAAUCUUGAAAUACCAGCCUGGUCAUGUUGGGGUUCUAACCUGGCGCCAUAAUCUGGCGUGGGGACAUUGUGUGGUGGGUAGUUUGACUGGGGCGGUCUCCUCCCAAAGAGUAACGGAGGAGCACGAAGGUACUCUCGGCAUGGUCGGAAAUCAUGCUAUGAGUGUAAAGGCAUAAGAGUGCUUGACUGCGAGAUUGACGAAUCGAGCAGGUGGGAAACCAGGUCUUAGUGAUCCGGUGGUUCUUUAUGGAAGGGCCAUCGCUCAACGGAUAAAAGGUACGCCGGGGAUAACAGGCUGAUACUACCCAAGAGUUCAUAUCGACGGUAGUGUUUGGCACCUCGAUGUCGGCUCAUCACAUCCUGGGGCUGAAGCAGGUCCCAAG